GUGAGGGAGGGUGUGACUAGUGACAGAGUGAGGGAGGGAGUGACUAGUGACAGAGUGAGGGAGGGAGUGACUAGUGACAGAGGGAGGGAUGGGGUGAAUAGUGACAGUCACCACCUCCUUCACUCUGUCACUGUGUCACCCCCUUCCUCACUCUGUCACUGUGUCACCCCUUCCUCACUCUGUCACUGUGUCACCCCUUCCUCACUCUGUCACUAGUCACCCACUCCCUCCCUCAC